AGAGUAAUACAUGCUCGGCGCGUUGCAACAGACUCUGACAAGUUCAAGGCUGUAGCCUCGCUGCUAAAUCUUGUUGCCAAGGCAAUGCAACAUAAGGCAAGAGCCUAGAGAAAUGAAUACUGCUGACAGCUCGUGCCAGCAGGCUCGGUCUGGUGAAAAGGGAACUUUGGGGAAGUAACAUUAACUUAAACGGCACGGCAGCAGCAGCAGCAGAAGGGAAAGGGGAGCGCUGAGAUGGAGGAGAGGAUCUGGAGGAGGAGCAGUGGGUAAAUGUCAAGCAACAGCUUUUUAAAACGUACUUCAUGGCAAAAUGUUAGCUGGAAAAGAGAUGAGGCUGCAAGUUGAUUAUUCUCCCCUGACUAUGAUUCACUGCUAAUGAUGACAGUACUCUCUGAGUUGAAGGAAGAGUACUACCCCAAGGACCACAGAGUCAAAAUAGAAGAUCAAUGCUGAAGAAGUCAGUUUCCUUAUCUCCCUUAGCGAAUGGCUGUGGCACUGAAGUCUGCUGUGUAGAGUCAUUUAUCUUUUCCCUGUGGAGUCCCAGAGAGUUCAGAUACCCCAGUUAA
rnacentral:lncRNA from 1 species